UAGUUUUAUUUAUUUAUUUUAUUUAAUAAUAAAAGAUAAUAAAUUUCAAACUGAACCAAUCAUAUUAAUAAGUACGUAUGCAACUAUGCAUAUAAAUACAUUUAUAUAACACGUAGGCUAUAGAAGUAUUAUACGUAAUCCAAUAAUAAGACUGUACAAUAAUACAGUUAGAUCAUCCAAUAGUUUUUUUUAUUUAAUGUACUUAUAAAAGACAAUGAAUUUCAAACUGAAGUUACUGAACCAAUCAUAUUUUUAUUAUAAGUACAUAUGCAUAUACAUUUAUAUAAUACUUAUAGAAGUAGCUUUUUUUAACACAGUGCCUCUCCCUCUGCCAAUCUGACCCCUUCACGUGACUGACUGUCACUGCCUGCACUUUCAACUGUCCUCACGGCUGCUGUAACUAUCACUUUAGUAAUCUAUUAUAAAACAAAAAGAGGACAAAAAGCUCAUAUUGUCUUUGUGCAUAUAGGGGGUUUUCACAACGCGUCAUCAGAGCGAAAGAUGCCAUAUUGGAGGCACUCCGCAUCACAACAGAGCACAGGCACUGAAGUAUAUCCCGAACGUCGUCAAGGAAAAUGGUUAAUUAUUGCCUUGUUUGAGGUUGUACCAAUAGGACACAUGGGCUGCGUUUACACUUGGCAUUAACAUGCGACCUGUAUCCGGAUGUUGUCCAAAUACACAUUGAAAAGACAAGUGUAAACGCGUUUGUGUUCGGAAUGUUAUCCGGUCUGUGUGUCCUGAUGCAGAGGUAGUCGAGGACGCUUUGUGAUCGGAUCUUAGUGUAAUGUAAACGCAAUCCAGCCAUCCUAUCUGCAUUUGCAGGCCAACGUCACACAAAUCCCCGCCCACUAUCAUCUCAUCUCACUGACAGCUGUCAAAAAUAAAGGACGUUAGGUCAUGGAGCGCAGGUGAGAGACGCACAAAUUUAUAUUUGUGGAGAAAUGCAGCUUAAACGUAUCUUGAAAUAAAUCGAUAUACAAAAGCAUUUUAACACUGUUGACUGUAUUUAACUUAUUCAGUCAUAUGUUUAACAUGUUUCCACUAUUUAUGGAGGGAUUUAAUAUUUAAUGGCAGAAUUGAAUAAAUGGUUAUAAUGUUUGAGUUUCCAUGGCGACAUAUCAACGUAAAUGUUGCGCUUCUUUCUGGUUAGUCAGCAGUUUCUAUCUCAUUUAACACAUUUUAAGUUACUUGAAAACACUUACAAACCAUAAUAACAAUAACCCAGUGGGGAACCUUCAGGGCCUUCUACGCCUUCAGAGAAGGCCUAAAAAAAUUAAUAAAAAUAUUUUUAUUAUAAUAAUACAAAUAAAUAAUAUUCAAUAAAAAUAUGUUUUUACAUUUUUAAAUUUCUAUUUAAUUCAAUUUAAUACAAUACAUGUAAUAUAUUUUCUCUCAUCUAUGUUCUAACGUUAAGUUUACUGUCAGGUUCAUGUCAUGAAAACAUCUAAUCCAAUCAGAAUCGUCUGUCUCUAUUAAGGCCCGGUUAUCUGGCUCAUUCAUUGGUUAGGACUUCAUGAAUCCCAGGGAAGGCCAAGCUAUGUGUUUUGGUGUGGAGAGUGACGGGCAAAUCGACCAAUCACGUUUUGAUUUCAAGUGGGCGGGCAAAAAACAAUACAUUGUAAGCCUUCAUGAAGUCCUAAUCAUGCAACAAACUGGAUGCGAGCUGCCGUAAAACACCAAAGACGAAGAUCAUAGACCGUUAAUAUUAAUACAGUCUAAUGGCCCGAAUCUCUGCGGUGAGAGUGGUUGAGGUAAAUGGCGGAAAACGUGAUUGACGUUGUAGCUAUUUUGAUAGGGCUGAGGUAACAACGAAAUUACUUAAGCGCGUACACGUGAAGAGCACAGCCGGGAGAAGCGCGUGCAGAGGAGACUGUAGCCGUUUCCCAAUGUCAAGGAAGGAUCCUCGGAAGCUAGAAUUUCGAGGAUGCUACGUCAUCGACGUCCGUCGAAGGACUGUUCCAAUGUCGAGGAUCCUCGAAAUUUCAGCCAAGGACUGAGUCCUUCGUUCGACAAAUAUCCCAUAUACAGGAAAGGAUGCAAAUUUGUAUCCUUCGCGCUCUUCACGCGCUGAAAUCACCCACAAUCCUCUGCGCGCAGCACCGAAAGCACACCUUCCAAUCACGUAAUGACGUAAUGACGUGCACUUGCUAGCCUGUUCCAUUUAACGUGUUCUCCGAAUGCUUAAAAGGAGCCUCGCCUCGUCUCUGAAGGAAGUGACUUGUAAGGACUAGUCCUGCCAAGGAAGUAUCCUUGACAUUGAGAAACGGCUUGUGCAUAUGACGCGAACACGAGAAAAAUAAUGGGUUUAAUUAUACUUUUACUUCCUGACAGUUUCACUUGUUACGUGAGGAUAGUAAUGACUGACAGACGACGCCGAAUUACAUACAAUAUAAUUUCCUAACUAAAUCUGAGAGAAUGCGAAAACAUUCAAAUAUUUUUUACCUCGCUAUACCCGAUGGUCAGGGCGGAGACACAUUUUGGUAGCCCGACAAGAAUUCGUAAUAGCCCCGGGACCUCGGGGCUCGGGCUAGAGAUUUUGCGAGCCCUGGAUAUCUUAUGACAACAGUUAUAAGCCACAAGGAGGUGCACUGAGAACGCAGGGUGCUAUAUUUCCCCUUAUGAAAAAGAUUAACAAGGUAUCCUACAGCUAAAUAUAUAUUUCCAAAAAAUAAAAAACAAAUUAAAGAAAAUAAUUUAAGAUGGUUAAAUGCAAAUUUACAGAGCCCCUGUCAUUACAGAGCAGCAGAAUCUGUAUUUGUGUUUAUCAGUUAGAUUAAAUUAAUUUUAAACUUUAAAACUGCAUUUUAAGGCAGACAAUGCCCAUUCUGUAAUUCAACUUUGCGUGAUCAGAAUUUUUACACAUUCACUGUAUGAUUUAACGAAAUACGAAUAGCCUAGUAUUAUGGAUGGAGAGGCAUUUGCACGUCAUUGCAUAUUUUGAAGGCCCAGCUGAAGUACCCACGGUUCGCCACUGCAAUAACCAAAUACAUUUAUUCAAUGUUGGUUUUAUACAAAGUAAGUUACUUAUAAAUGUGUUUGUAAAUUACAUAACUAUACGACUAGAGGGAGACAUGAACAGGAAAUUUAGGAAAUUGUUAGCUGUUUUAGUUAAAUCAUAAAUCAAAAACGUAUGAAUUCGGGCAGACUAAAAAGUCGGGAAGGUCAUCCUAAUGUUUCACACGGAUUUUGUUGUUGAUGAAAAGCAUGCGGGUGAAAGUCAAGUUCAGGUAACGUUGGCUGAAUCCUGGCGCUGACGUUGCAGAUAAACAAAGAUAAAGCCUUUAAAGCUAAAAAAAAAUAAAGCUUAAAAUGUGCACAUCACGGUUUUUGGGUUUGCUAGUUAUUCUCUGCUGUUUGCUUCUCACUGUACAAUACGGGAUUUCGGUUACCGCGACAACCCUAAAUCGUGGCGAAAGACAGCUGUAGCCAUCUGUGAUUGACAGCUAUCCACCCAGCGCGCGUCUCCCUGAACGGGAUCCGAUCAGAUACAGAAGCCACAUUUAUGUGACAAAUGUAAACGCGCCGUGUCCUGAUAUACGGAUGAUCGGAUCUGCGUAAACGGAUCACCGAGGGCCUUUUUACACCUGGUCACUUCAUGUGUUUUCUCUGAUCGGAUAGUCAUCUGAUUUGUUAAGACUGUUCCAUUUACAUUUGGCCACAUAAAUGCGUCUUGGCAAAACGAAUAUGAAUCUGAUCUUUUUUCCCCCGCCCAAAAUGCAAAUACACUAUUUAUUACUCCGCCUUAAAAAACUUAAGAUGACGUUUACGCAACAAUAUGCAGCACUUACUGUAUGUUGUACUGAAUGUUGGGCAGGGGACGCGCGUCUCCUUGCUCGGCAUGAGCUGAUGCUCGCAGUACAGCGCAGCAGGAGAGUGACAGCGCGAUGAUUUAAUGCAGGUCCAUGACGGGAAAAGCAUUCACAAAACUCUCUCUUAACGUUAUAUUUCUUUGUUUAAUAUCAUUUGAAUUUGUCAUUAGACUCUUUUAUUGAUUCUAGGAAGCUUUUUUACCCGCUGUCAUCUCUCCAUAAAGCAAUAGGCGUGUCAGCUAUGUUUGUUUGGCGCUCUUCCAGCUUACUUGCGAGUGACGUGCUGACGUUUGGGAGGAGUAAAGCGCGACUUAUGUGGUUUCAUCAACCAGAUGCAUUUACACUUCUCUGAAAUGCGUCCCAGACCACCUCCUGAAGUGGUUUGAGCGAUCGGAUUUAAAUCCGUCUCUAAAUCGUUUCAGAGGGCAUUUACACCUGGUCUUUUUACGAUCAGAUAGCUAUCCGAUCAGAGAAAACGCAUGAAGUUACCAGGUGUAAAAAGCCCCCAAGAUCGCAUGUUAAUGCAAAAUGUAAACGCAGCCAUGGAGAAAAACAUUUGAAAUAUUAUCGACUUCCAAAAGUUAUUAAAGGAAUGCAAGAAAUUAUCAGAGGAGGCGCUUGUGGUUGUCAAAGCUCAGGAAAAAGAGUAGUAUUGUAUUAGAAAUAUGAUUGAUAUACAUAACGUAUAAAACAAUUAUGCUUCUACUUGUUGUGCUUUAUUUAAAGAGUAUUAAAGAGCACCUAUUAUGGGAUACACGUUUUUAAACAUCCUUUUGUGUGUAAGUGUGCAUUAGUACAUGCUAACGAUAUUCAAAAAGUACAUACCUCAAAGAAAACGAUGACGCGAGUUAUCAUCUCUAACGUUCGAGGACUACAAAAAACACUCGGAUUGUAGGCAACAGUUUACUUCCUGGGAUUAGUGACGUAGAUAAGACCAACAUUAUCUUAUGCUGCGUUCCAGGCAACCUGUAACCCGUAACUCACGACUUCAAAACCACGACUCACGACUUUGAACUGGGAGUACAUCGAUCUAGUACGAGUUCACGGGUGGGAAGUCACGGGUUUGACUGCCUUUCCAGUGCACUUUCACCGGUAGAAGGUUGUAAAAACACGAGUUACAGGCUGCCUGGAACGCAUAGGGUCGUGAGUCGUGGUUUUGAAGUCGUAACUCACGGGUUUAAAAACCUGCCUGGAACGCACCAAUAGUUCAGCCCUCUCUGCUUUGCUUGGGUACGCCCUCAAAGACGGGGGUGGGGAGCGCCGAGUCAGAAGAGAGCUAAAAUGGCGGAGGUUGUGAGUCCCUGCUUUGACUCUGUUUGCAAACUCUUGUUUCAUUGUUUAAGCGAUUAAAUCUCUCGAGUAGACGCUGUCUCUUUAGAUGCGAGGGCAAAAUAGCACUUUAUGGACUUCCACAGAGGACAUCAUGUUUAAUACGGUUCCGGAAAAAUCCAGUCAGAAGUUGUUCACGGCGUUUUCACAAUAACUGCUUCUCAUGAACCGAAGCUGGAUUUGCGCGACGUCUCCUCUUGAAAGUUGGAUUACUGUGCACUUCUGGAUCACAGACUGUAAGUAUUCAUGUUUAUUAUUUGCCUUUUACUGUACAUUACGUAACCGGUAACCGGAGAUUAACAUAAUGUGCGUGUAGAGUUAAAGAGCACCUAUUAUGGGAUACACGUUUUUUAACAUCCUUUUGUGUGUAAGUGUGUAUUAGUACAUGCUAACGAUAUUCAAAAAGUACAUACCUCAAAGAAAACGAUGACGCGAGUUAUCAUCUCUAACGUUCGAGGACUACAAAAAACACUCGGAUUGUAGGCAACAGUUUACUUCCUGGGAUUAGUGACGUAGAUAAGACCAACAUUAUCAUAGUUCAGCCCUCUCUGCUUUGCUUGGGUACGCCCUCAAAGACGAGGGUGGGGAGCGCCGAGUCAGAUGAGAGCUAAAAUGGCGGAGGUUGUGAGUCCCUGCUUUGACUCUGUUUGCAAACUCUUGUUUCAUUGUUUAAUUAAAUCUCUCGAGUAGACGCUGUCUCUUUAGAUGCGAGGGCAAAAAAGCACUUUAUGGACUUCCACAGAGGACAUCAUGUUUAAUACGGUUCCGGAAAAAUCCAGUCAGAAGUUGUUCACGGAGUUUUCACAAUAACUGCUUCUCAUGAACCGAAGCUGGAUUUGCGCGACGUCUCCUCUUGAAAGUUGGAUUACUGUGCACUUCUGGAUCACAGGCUAUUCGCAGCUGGACACAUCCUUCUACACUGUUUGCAAACAUGCAACAUCAUUACACACAGUACAAGGAGUCAGACUGGCAUAUGAGGAGCAAAGGAACCCAGGAAGUAGCAUCGUUUCACAAUGUUUCCAUCACCAUCAUCAGUGGAUGCCUUUGCUGUCCGUAGCCUGAGAUUUCAGAUUUGCAGCAAAAAAAAAAAUUAUUUUCUCAUUUAUUGGAAUGCUGUGCAGGUUGUACCUUGCAGCCAUCCAUUACAAUGUCACCAAGCCGUAACAAAAGCAGGAGAGGGAAAGUACAAGGCUAUGUUCCCAAAACACACAAGUGACAUACCUUAUGUGGAGGAUGUGAUCAGGCUUGUGUUUGAUGAGGUAUUUGAAGAUAAGCUGAAGGAAGCCCCGAUUCCAAUGGACCUGGCAUCACAGUUUGAGAGACCUUCAAAGGAGGACGUGAUUGCAUGCCAUCUUCAGUGCAGGGGUCGUCGAAAGCCAAAAUUGUGACCGAUCUGAUCAGGAAGCUCCAAGCGUAUCUGGAGAACAACACACAACAGGAUGAUAACCUUAUAGUGUCGUCUUAAAUAGCACCAGCUGACAAAGCUUUGAUAUGCCAUUUAUCUGAAUAGAUAGCUGUAAGAAAUGAAUUGAAAAAUUUUUGAAAGAAGAGCACAAUAUGGUUACUAAAGUAUGUUUAUUUGUAUAUUGUUUAACAUUUAAAUAUAUAUUUGUAAUAAAUAAAAAAAACUUUUGACUGACUAUUAUAUUUUCUUUAAAGUUACAUCUUUUGUUCUUUUGGGUACUUUGUUACUAUAAUGAUACUUAAGUGUUAUUGGUUUAAAAAUGUAA